UGUAGGCGAAACGUCAGGAGAGAAUGCUUCUGGAACAUAACCAGACAGGCCGAACAACUCACAGCAACCCAAUGAUCCCAAAAGGCUCUCCUCACCCUUCCAGCGCUUGGGACUGUCCAUCAGCCCUAAUAGUCCCGCCUUUUCGUUCCUCGCCGCGGCUCCUGAUUGGGCGAGGGACCCCCUGGCAACUCCCACCUGCUCGCACAGAGCCACGUGAACGGGAGCGGCCCCGGCGCGCGCCAGACAGAGCGAGAGCAGCGAGGCUGGGCUUUGGCUGGGGGAGGAGGAGGAGGAGGGGGAGCAUGCUCCUGCUGAGACCUUGAGGAGGGGGCGCGAAAGAGGAAGGCUCCCAGGAAAGAAUAAAGGAGGCAGAAGAUAAGCAAAGAGGAAGUGUGCCCAGCAGCGGAGCAGAAUAUACUAUAUUUGGAGCCCAAAGAUGUUGAUGAUGAUGAAGAAGAUGAAGGAGAUGAAGGAGAAGGAAAGGAAGGACAGGGAGGAGAAGGAGAGGAAAGAGAAGGAGAAGAGGGAAAAAGAGAAGCAGGAGAAACAGAAGCAGGCAAACCAAUUUUAAAAAAAUCCUCAACCAUAAACAAAAAUCUCUAAAGCCUUUCUCAGCCCAUCCCAAAGAGCUUGCAAGAGCUUGUAGAUGCAUAUUGCAAUAUGCCAGGAAGAUUAGUAAACCAGAAUUUUAUUAUGCAAAGUGAAUUUGCAAAGCUGAAGCAAAUCACUGCAACUUGAUGCUGUGCCAGAUGCAUUUUGCACCCUUUGUACCAUGUAACGAUUACUCUGUGCCAUUCCUGUCUGGCUCAGCACACACCAGUGUUCCUGCAUUUCCUUUCCAUUCCCACCAAAAACAGUAUGUGUGUAUACCUCUGAAUCACUCAAACUACUCUGCAAAUAUUCUGCUCAUCACUCAAAACAGGUUUGUAAUUUGUAUGCAGUUUUUCUUUGUUUUGUCAGGAAUGAUAGAUCCAGUGACUAAAUGUUAUUCAAACUGGACAUUCCCGUAAGCCUGCCAAAUCAAAUGGCUAAAAAUAUAGAUUAUAUAACCCAUGAUAAAUAAUAUUGAGUAAUUUGGUAUUGAUUGAAUACUCUUAACAGUUGUCUGGAUCCAUGUUCUUCCCUUCAAAAACUUUAUACACUGCCUUACGCUUUAUCAACUUGGGUAACCAUUUGGAGACGUGUGUGGUGUAUAGCAAUAUAAUAUGUAUAAUUUAAAUAUGAAAAUUAUAUAUAUUCUUCAUGUUACUGUCCUAGGCUGACGUUCAUGCCCAUCAGAACAUCCCAGUAUUUCUUGUGCCUUGGUGCACAUACAGUGGCCAAGCUCCUGUGUAGCACAGCCUAGCAUAACAGCUCUUCAUGUGGAGCUAUGGUACAGCUCAACAUCACAUGGACUUAUUAUUGAGCCCUUACUUCUCCCCACAUGUCCACAACCAUCCUGUGGCUGAUGGCGAGCAGGGGUGGAUUAUCUCUGUCCAGCUACAUCUCUGUAGCCAGAUGUAGAAUGAUUACAUCAUAUGGUGGGAUCGUUCACAGAUCUCAGCAUAUGAUGUGAUCAUUUUAUGUCUGGCUGUGGAGACAUAGCCAGACACUCCAUCAGAUUCCACCAGCAGCUGCCGUGGAAUGGCCCUGGGCCUGCUGCAGCUCAAAUGUACCUCUAGAGUGGGGGAGUUUUGUUCAUUGUGAAGGACAGAAGGAAACACCUGCCUCCAUAAUGACCCCACCCUGGUGAAAUACUUGGGCUCAAGCUGGGCUUGCGCCUGAGUAUGCCACUAACUAGAUGCCAGCCAGUAUGUGUACUACAGCAUAUGUGAAAUGUGCACACUUUUUAAUUAUACGUAAUGUCUAUUGCAUCUAAUUUUCUACAGAGAAAUUAUAUCCAUGUAGGAAAUUUGUCAUUUAGAGAGAAGUGAAAUGCUGACUCAAAAGAGAAACAGGAGUGUUUACAGACAAUUUAUUAUUAUUAAGCUUUUCAAAAAUUGUUUUGUAUUGUCUUUUAUAUUGUUUUUAUUUUUUAAUACAAACUGCCUAGAUAUUUUAACACAUGAGAUGAUAAAUGAAUGCACUAAAAAGCCAAUGUGGUGCCAUUGUUUGAGUGUUGGAUUAGGACUCCAGGAGACCAGAGUUUGAAUUCCCUCUCAGUCCUAGAAACCCACUGGGUGACUUAGGGCAAGUUACAUUCUCUCCGCCUUACAGAAAAUCAAUGGCCAAACAUCUCUGAACAAAUCUUACCAAGAAAACUCCAUGAUAGACUUGCCUUAGGGUCACCAUAGUUUGGAAGCACAUAACAUAUGAAUGCCCUAAAUAAUAUUGAAACACAAUAUUCCCACAUUACUGCUCUACACCAUUUCUCAUGUAUGACAACUCCCCACAGGCAUUCAGCUUAAAGCAAUGCAUGAUGUAUAGACCCCCAACAUGAGUGAACUAACCAGUUCUUUGUACUGUGUUUUUGUUGCUGUUCUUUUCCUAGUUGUUUAAACACAUACACCAGGAUUCCAGUAAAAACCAAGAAGACAUAUUGAAGAUCUCAAGCAUCCAUUAUUUGCUUGAAGUGAUCCUGGGUCCUGUAAGGUAAAUUUCCACUUGAAGUUGACCCACUUGAAGUCAUGCUGGAGGACCUAAAAUUGCCUAGAGAGAGGUUUUCUCAGGUGUUUGGAGGUUUUGGCUGUUUCUAGAUGGAAUGGACUACCUCACAAGGUGGUAGACUCCUUUGCUGGAAGUCUUCCAACAGAAGCUGGAUGGCCAUGUCUCAGGAGUGAUUCAGACUGUGCAUUCCAAUAUGGCAGGUGUUGGAACAGAGGACCCAAGCCAUAUAGUAAAGCCAUAUGAAUCCAAGAAAACAGAGAAAAGACGAGGAAUGAUGUUGGAUCUGUUAACGAAUCACCUCUUCGUUUCAACCUGUGAUUUAUAGUCAGCAUUGGAGCCCAGUUAUACAUCCAACCACCCACAGACAUUAAUCUGGUCAGUCGUCAAGACAAAGGUUUUUUUCAGUAGUAGCAACCAGAAUUGGGAAUCUUUUCCCAAGUCAGAACUAGAAGCUGGUAGCAGUACUGAAGAGAGAGAUAAGAUGGCACCAAUAGUUUCCCGAAGCUGCAUCCAGAUGGUUGAGCUACUUCACCACAUUGGUUUGCAGACACCAUAGGUUGGUAUGACGACUUUACUGGAGUAAAGAUGAUUAUCAUGCAUUACCUUUAAACCAUACUCAGGCACUCAGUUUGAACCACAAUUUCUAAUUAUGGUGUGGAGGUGAACUGUGUUUCCUAGAAACUGGAAAGGCAAAGAAAAAAAAAAUCAUCACCAAGUGUGAGGCAAAGAUGGCAAAGAGGGAGUGCAAGAAGUUAAGAGUACGUUCCUGACAUGCUUGCUUCUGUCAUCUGAACACAGCCUCUCAGGCUAACCUUCUUAACACAGUGGAGUGUCUGACAAAAACAUAUUGAUGGUCAGAAUGGACAAAACAAGAGCUGAAGGGGGAAAGCUUCAACAAACAGCAAGGAAAUAUCAAGAGGCUGUGAAUGUUUGCAACAAAGAACCAAUGAGAUACCAUACCCAGGAAUCAGCAUGAGGACAAACUGGAAUGAUGACUGAGUAAGUGACACCAAAAUCCAAUAGCUGAGAGAGGAGCAGAGAGGCCAGAAACAGAACAACUGUGUUGAAAAGAUAUGGCAGGAAAGAGGGGGUUAUCAGGGUUCCAGGAACAUCAAUAAGGCAUGCAGCUCAAGAUAAGCAUAAGUUGAGGGAGAAAAUGAAUGUGGUUAUAGAUUGCAAUGAAUGAAAGAACUAAGGAGGUGGUGAAAGGAGCUCAGAAAUUGAUGUGAAAAAAAGAGUAUACCAACAUACACUGAUCAUGGCUCAGCUCCACCUGGCUUUAUACUCAGAAACAAGUUCUGUUGAAUUCAGUGGCAUUUAGCUCCCAAGUGAAUGACUAUAGGAUUGCAGCUAAAACAGUAGGGCUGGCCCAGAAGAGAGAAAGUACUGUGAAUCCUAAAAAUACUGAAGAGAGAGGAAUGAUCAAUUAAUGAUGAAUCCAGUACUUUUAACUGAGAGAGCCAGCACAGUGUUGUGUUUUGAGUGUUGGACUAAAUUCUGUAGACCAGGGUUCUAUUACUAAUUUGAUCUCUUUUUUCGAUAGAGUUAUAAGCUGGGUAGAUGCAGGGAACGCCGUGGAUGUAGCCUAUCUGGAUUUCAGUAAAGCUUUCGACCAGGUCUCCCAUGACCUUCUGGCAAACAAGCUAGUCAAAUGUGGGCUAGGCAAAGCUACGGUUAGGUGGAUCUGUAAUUGGUUAGGCGAACGAACUCAAAGGGUGCUCACCAAUGCUUCCUCUUCAUCCUGGAAAUAAGUGAUGAGUGGAGUGCCACAGGGUUAUGUCCUGGGCCCGGUUCUGUUCAACAUCUUUAUUAAUGACUUAGAUGACGUGCUAGAAGGUAUUAUCAAGUUUGCAGACAAUACCAAAUUGGGAGGAAUAUCUAAUACUCCAGAAGACAGGAGCAGAAUUCAAAACCAUCUUAACAGAUUAAGAGAGAGAUGGGCUGAAACUAACAAAAUGAAGUUCAACAGGGACAAAUGUAAGAUGCUCCACUUAGGCAGAAAAAGAAAAAUGAAAUGUAAAGAUACAGAAUGGGGGAUGCCUGGCUCGACAGCAGUAUGUGUGAAAAAGAUCUUGGAGUCCUCAUGGACAAGAAGUUAAACAUGAGCCAACAUUGUGAUGAGGUGGCAAAAAAAAAAAAGGCAAUGGGAUUUUGGCCUGCAUCAAUAGGAGUCUAGUGUCUAGAUCCAGAGAAGUUGUGCUACCCCUCUAUUCUGCCUUGGUCAGACCACACCUGGAAUACUGUGUCCAAUUCUGGGCAUUGCAUUUGAAGGGAGAUGUUGACAAGCUGGAAAGCGUCCGGAGGAGGGCAACUAAAAUGAUCAAUGAUCUGGAGAACAAGCCCUAUGAGGAGCGGCUUACAGAGCUGGGCAUGUUUAGCCUGCAGAAGAGAAGGCUAAGAGGAGACAUGAUAAGGGCCAUGUAUAAAUAUGUGAGAGGAAGUCAUAGGGAGGAGGGAGCAAGCUUGUUUUCUGCUGCCCUGGAGAUUAGGAUGCAGAACAAUGGCUUUAAACUGCAGGAAAGGAGAUUUCACCUGAACAUUAGGAAGAACUUCCUCACUGUGAGGGCUGUUCAGCAGUGGAACUCUCUGCCCCAGAGUAUGGUGAAGGCUCCUUCUUUGGAGGGCUUUUAAGCAGAGACUGGAUAGCCAUCUAUCAGGGGUGCUUUGAAUGCGAUUUUCCUGCUUCUUGGCAGGGAGUUGGACUGCAUUGAGCUAAAUUGUUAAGGAGCCCUCAAUGGCGCAGCGGAUUAAACCGCUGAGCUGUUGAACUUGCUGACCGAAAGGUCAGCAAUUCGAAUCCAGAGAGUGGGAUGAGCCCCUACUGUUAGUCCCAGCUUCUGCCAACCUAGCAGUUCAAAAACAUGUAAAGGUGAGUUGAUCAAUACCACUCUGGCGGGAAGGUAAUGAUGCUCCAUGCAGUCAUGCUGGCCUCACGUCGAGUCUGACUCUGAGAGUUAGUACUCAUCUCCAUUUCUAAGCCAAUGGGAUUUUGGCCUGCAUCAAUAGGAGUAUAGUGUCUAGAUCCAGAGAAGUCGUGCUACCCCUCUAUUCCGCCUUGGUCAGGCCACACCUGGAAUACUGUGUUUUUCAGCUUAUAAAUGGAGAUGAGCACUAAUUUUCAAGAGUCAGACAUGACUAGACUUAAUGUCAGGGGAAAACGUUUACCUUUACCUAAAGUAUUGUUACUUACAAAUCUCUGAAAGCAUCUGUCAUGUGAUAGGUGCUAGCCAUGUUUGUAUUUGCUUGUUGCUAGUAGUAAAAAGACAAGUGAAAGCUUUCUGGGGCUGCUACUUUGUGAUUGCUCAUGAGCUUCUGAAUGCCAUGUGCUUCUGUGACCCAUGUAGCAAUGGCAACCCUUGUAUUUAUCUCCAGUUAUAUAAGUGGUGCAGUGGACUGAAGAGAAACCAUUUCUCCUUACUAUUUUAACAGCAAACAAGAUCUUUCAGUACACACAUUCUUCCUCUGGUAUGACUCCAGUGUGAGGCCUUUGUAACUUGGGCUGGGGCUCGCCUCAAUAGCUGAGAGGAGACUUCUUCAGCUUUUAUCUGGAUGUUUUCAGACACAGAGGAAUUUUCCAAGACAAGAAGCUCACCUACUAAGUAACUCAUCUGCUAUAUACCAUAACUGAUUUGUAAAGCAUUCUCACAAGGCUCCUCAGUGAAGGCUAUGAGAUGCCCCAGAGCUUGGGAAAGCACCUUUUUUUGGACUACAGCUCCCAAAGCUCUUCAACCAGCAUGGUCAUUGGCUGGAAUAUUGUGGGAGCUGGAGUCCCAAAAGAAGACCUUUGCUGGUGUAUCAGAUAAACCUUUCUUUUAUUUUUUUAAAAACAGGCUCGCAUCAGUCAGAGAGGAUAAUGGGAGCCCCCAGUGGCACAAUGAGUGAAACCCUUGGGCCCCUUGUGCUGGCAGGACUGCUGACCAAAAAGUUAGCAGUUAGCAUCCAAGGAACGGGGUGAGCUCCCAUCUGUCAGUUCCAGCUUCCUAUGCAGGGGCAUGAGAGAAGCCUCCCACAGGAUGGUAAAACAUCCGGACAUCCUCCGGGCAACGUCCUUGCAGACAGCCAGUUCUCUCAUACCAGAAGUGACUUGUAGUUUCUCAAGUCGCUCCUGACAUGAAAAAAAUGGGAGAUUAAAUUCACUUCCUCUAGAAUGUGCAGUUUGGAUCAGAAGCAUCCAUGUUGCCGUCCUUGCUGCCUCCAAAUUUAGCUCUCUUGCGCUCCUUCAUAAACCCCUGGGGAAAUCUCUUUGCAGAUGUGCUGCCCAUACUCUGGCUUCACUCCUCUUCUUUGGUUCUGUUUUGCUCAGAGGCAAGGAUGGCACCCUGGAAGACACAGAUGAAGGAGGCUAUUAUGUCACAACUAUUAAGCUUGGUGUCUUUCUGGGAGCGAGAAAUUGUAAUUCACAGUUAGAAUUUCUUUUCCUCUUCCCGUUGCAUUGCUUUCCACACUUCUGGACAAGGAAGGAAGGAAGAAUGCCACUGUUGCAUAUAAACCUCUAAUUCUCAUCUUGUAAAUGGGUGAGAAAUGGACAUGCGGGGAUGCUUUACAACUUCUCAAGGGACAAGAUUUGAUCCUGGAGCAUUCAGUUGCUGAUCCGUCAUCUGUGAUUAAAAGCCAAGAAACACCCCUUUGCUGAAACAAAUAUACGUUGUACCACUUCACCUACCCACAUUUAAACCCUAGAAUAUGUAUAUUUCCUCAGUAAAUCCAAAAACAGGCAUAAAGCCACAUUUGCCUCCUGCAUCUCUCUCUGUCAUAUGCCUGUUGUAUUAUCAGCUGAUGCCUCUGCAUUGAUGAAUCUGCUGAGCUGUAAAAAAAAAAAAAAAGAAUGGGGGAGGGCGGAGAGAAAUGUGCUGAGUAAGAGGAGUAAAUAAAAGAAAUCAAAAUCCUCCAUUGUCCAUUGCUGACAGCAGUAAGGUUCGUGAUUAAUAAUUGAACUGCUUUUCCAGGAAAGUAAAGGAGGUGCUAGAGUCCAAGCCACAACAACAAACGGACAUAGUCCUGUUCCAGGAAAGGCUGUGUUCUUCCAUGAGGCUUUAUGGAGCCAUUACAUUGUGCUGCAGGCGUUCUGAACUAGAAGAAGGCUGUGAUUCUGCUGCAUCUAAUACUGAGCAAACUGCCUGCGCAUUGUCACACUUGAACGCUGAUGCAGUCUAAAUCCAGCAGCCAAUAUUAAAAGAGACACAGCCUUGCAUAGUCAUGCGGCCAAGACAGUGGAAGAUUUAUUGAAUAUUUGACACAAAGUUGUACACUGUGUGUAUCGCUUUUCUAAGACUGCUGUUGUGUACCUUCAAGUCAUUUCUGGCUAAUUGCAUUCCUAUGGCAAAGUUAUCAUGGAGUUUUCUUGGCAGAAUUUAUUCAAAGUUUGGCCUUGCCUUCCUUUGACACCGAGAGAGUUUGACUUGCCCAAGGUCACCCAGGAGGUUUCCAUGACCAAGCAGUACAUCUACAUUGUAGAAUGAAUGCAGUUUGACAGCACUUCAACUACAAUGGCUCAGUGCUAUGGAAUUAAUGGAGGUGUAGUACUUGUAUAGAAGACUGCUAAGGAAUAUCAAGUGCUGCAGGCUGUACUUCAAAAGACGCAAUGACAAAACCACCUCUGAGUUUUCCUUGCCUAAAAAACCAUAUGAAAUUCAUGUGGUUGCCAAGAAGCCUCAUAUACACACACUACAAAUUGCUCGGAGGUCAAAUGAGAAAUUGCAGCAAAAUAUCCCUAGUUUUAAAAAUUGAUUCUUCUCCAAACACAUACAAAAGCAAAGAGAUACAGUGGUGGAGGUAGAGCUUGAAAGCAAUGAGCUAUAAGUAACUAGUUUCCCCCUGUUUUGUUACAAGUAAUGAGUUACUUGGGGAAAUGUGGAAAUAACAAAGUCACAUCUCAAAAGUAACAUAAUAGAUGAGAGAUGUUAAUUACUUAAUGUAAUGAAUGAUGUUUCUAGUUAUUUGCUCAGGCCAUUUUCAAAGGAAUGUUGACAGACUUCCAGUUUGAUGCUAUUCUCUUAUCAGCCCUGAGGGUUAUUUCCAACUUUAAAAGUAACAAAAAGUAUUAGACAAGGAGUGAGCAGUGUAACUAACAAUUUUCCACAAGCAGUGCUAACAGGGUACUCUUCUACCAAUGAAAUGUGAGUAAUGGAAAUGAAUUACUUUUAAAUGGCUACUUUCUGAGCCGUGGAUGUAAGUGAGGAGAGCACAACCGUUGUCUUUGUUAUCUGUUCCUUCAUCUCUUCAUCCAACUCAUUCUUCUGCCAGCCACAUACCCUUCCAGUAUCAGAGCUCAGGUCAGUUCCAAGACAACUGCAGGAGGGCAAAGGGAAAACAUCAGGAAGGAAACUGAGAGAAUGUAGCAUUUCUCAUCCACAGAGUCCCUUUCACUGUGAAAAAUGGAUCCAUGUCCUCAUUGUCCAUAUUUGAACACAUCAUAUCUGUUUGGCCUUUAACAACAUACUACUGAACAUGCCAGUGAAAGACUGUAAUAAUGUUAAUAAUGUUAACCAAGUCUGGCUAUUAAAGUAAAGGCUAUGUUUUCUUGCUUA